rnacentral:miRNA from 1 species
AGGGAUAGGAACUAGUCGGUUCA